rnacentral:miRNA from 1 species
GAUAGACGACGAUGCUUAUGAUGAUGAUGAUAAUGAUAAUGAUUAUCAUUAUUAUUCUCUUCAUCAUUCUUAUUAUCAUCAUUAUUAUAAUUAUUUUUA